UACGAAGGGGGCUAGCGUUGUUCGGAAUUACUGGGCGUAAAGCGCGCGCAGGCGGUCCUUCAAGUCAGGGGUGAAAGCCCAGGGCUCAACCCUGGAAUGGCCUUUGAGACUAGAGGACGUUGGGUACGGGGAGAGGUGAGUGGAAUUCCGAGUGUAGAGGUGAAAUUCGUAGAUAUUACGGAAGAACACCAGUGGCGAAGGCGGCUCACUGGCCCGUUACCGACGCUCAGGCGCGACAGCGUGGGGAGCAAACAGGG
rnacentral:rRNA from 1 species